UAAUAAAGAGCGAACGACUGUUAGAAAACGUGUACCUGAGUUUCAAUCGCCGAUUACCCAAAUUCCUCCACAAAUGAAUUUAAAUAAAACUUGCCAAUGCAAGUGCAAAGACGAGUUAAAACACGAAUUAACUCAUGACCGGUCAACAAUGUGUCAGAAUUGGCCAUAUGUAUUAAGAUGCACGCAAAGUGGUCGAUUUCGAAGGUGCGGUCACGUCGAGUCGACAAACAACUCCUAGCAACGAGGUGUUGACUCGUCACGCCUUUCUGCAUCGUGAAUCUUCCGCCCUUCGUUGCAACCCUCCGAAGGGCAGGAAUAAGAGUCGAGAAAGAGCCUUUCUGUAGCGUUCGUGAAAGUGUCGUUCCUCUUCGCGUUGUUUACGUUCCAUAAACCAGACCGAGGAAGGGUGUACGGUUGGUUGAAUUCGCGAAAAGAUGGAUCUCCCGGGCUUGACACCUGCCUCGCGCACCCCUUACGAACAUGGAAUUUCGACGUGGGCGUCGCGGCGCCACUUACCA